rnacentral:rRNA from 1 species
UCAACGGAUAAAAGGUACUCCGGGGAUAACAGGCUGAUACCGCCCAAGAGUUCAUAUCGACGGCGGUGUUUGGCACCUCGAUGUCGGCUCAUCACAUCCUGGGGCUGAAGUAGGUCCCAAGGGUAUGGCUGUUCGCCAUUUAAAGUGGUACGCGAGCUGGGUUUAGAACGUCGUGAGACAGUUCGGUCCCUAUCUGCCGUGGGCGCUGGAGAACUGAGGGGGGCUGCUCCUAGUACGAGAGGACCGGAGUGGACGCAUCACUGGUGUUCGGGUUGUCAUGCCAAUGGCACUGCCCGGUAGCUAAAUGCGGAAGAGAUAAGUGCUGAAAGCAUCUAAGCACGAAACUUGCCCCGAGAUGAGU